rnacentral:rRNA from 1 species
AUUGAACGCUGGCGGCAUGCCUUACACAUGCAAGUCGAACGGUAACAGGUCUUCGGAUGCUGACGAGUGGCGAACGGGUGAGUAAUACAUCGGAACGUGCCCGAUCGUGGGGGGUAACGCAGCGAAAGCUGUGCUAAUACCGCAUACGAUCUACGGAUGAAAGCGGGGGAUCGCAAGACCUCGCGCGGACGGAGCGGCCGAUGGCAGAUUAGGUAGUUGGUGGGAUAAAAGCUUACCAAGCCGACGAUCUGUAGCUGGUCUGAGAGGACGACCAGCCACACUGGGACUGAGACACGGCCCAGACUCCUACGGGAGGCAGCAGUGGGGAAUUUUGGACAAUGGGCGCAAGCCUGAUCCAGCCAUGCCGCGUGCAGGAUGAAGGCCUUCGGGUUGUAAACUGCUUUUGUAAGGAACGAAAAAGCUCUCUCUAAUACAGGGGGUGAAUGACGGUACCGUAAGAAUAAGCACCGGCUAACUACGUGCCAGCCGCCGCGGUAAUAC